GCGGCUUUUGAGGAUGUCUUUUGUCCGUAUCGCAAUGCCCCCCAUUGCUCCAUGUGCAUGAGGAGGAAACAAAGACCAGUC
rfam:Pyrenophora tritici-repentis Pt-1C-BFP supercont1.1 genomic scaffold, whole genome shotgun sequence.